rnacentral:rRNA from 1 species
AUGGCGGAUGGUGAUGGUCCUUGGUAUGACAGAUUAAUCGAUGAGUGGGAUAAGGAGCAUCGUGCUCGUGCCAUUGAGAAUGGACAGCAAGUAGUUGCUAUGCGCAUGAGGGGUCAUUCCGCUGAUGACUUUGAUUACGACCCGCGGUAUGAGGCUUACAUUCGGAGAUUGGGUCUUAUCCCAUUCGUGUUGCAGUUUAAGCGACGCGCUCCGCCGGUGAACCACGCGGCGCUGACCGCACUUGUGGAUCGUUGGAGGCCGGAGACUCACUCGUUCCACCUUCCGUGUGGGGAGAUGACGAUGACCCUACAGGACAUGGCUAUGAUAAGCGGCCUUCCUAUCAACGGACAAGCUGUUACCGGUCGUGUCAGCGUGGGUAAUUGGCGAGAACGGACUGCCGAUUUAAUUGGCGUUCAGCCCGAGGGCCCUCAGGAAGGCAAGGCCGAUACCGCGAAAGUGAGGCAUUCUUGGCUAAAAAUGGUCAGAGGAAACACCAAUCCAUGCCCUCAGGAUGCCAAUGACGUGGUUGUGCAGCAGUACGCGGGGGCCUAUCUUUGGUAUGUACUAACCAAGGUAGUCUUCUCAGAUGCAACCGGGAACUCAGCCCUCUGGAUGUUCUUGGACUACUCAAUAACUGGGAUACCCAGUAUAGCUGGGGUUCGGCCGCACUAG